rnacentral:rRNA from 1 species
GCGCACCAGGCGAGAAAACUUCACACUGUGCGAAAGCACGAUGAGGGAAUCCCAAGUGCUUGCACGUAAGUGUAAGCUGUUUCUCUGUCUAAAACGCAGAGAGAGUAAGGGCUGGGUAAGACGGGUGCCAGCCGCCGCGGUAAUACCUGCAGCUCAAGUGGUGACCGUUAUUAUUGGGCCUAAAACGUCCGUAGCCGGUUUAAUAAAUGCCUGGGUAAAUUGUGUAGCUUAACUAUACGAAUUCCGGGUAGACUGUUAAACUUGAGACCGGGAGAAGUUAGAGGUACUCCUGGGGUAGAGGUGAAAUUCUGUAAUCCUAGGGGACCACCAGUGGCGAAGGCGUCUAACUAGAACGGGUCUGACGGUGAGGGACGAAGCCCUGGGGCGCAAACGGGAUUAGAUACCCGUGUAGU